rnacentral:rRNA from 1 species
UCCUACGGGGGGCAGCAGUGAGGAAUAUUGGUCAAUGGCCGAGAGGCUGAACCAGCCAAGUCGCGUGAGGGAAGAAUGUCCUAUGGAUUGUAAACCUCUUUUGUCAGGGAGCAAAGUCACCCACGUGUGGGUGUUGGAGAGUACCUGAAGAAAAAGCAUCGGCUAACUCCGUGCCAGCAGCCGCGGUAAUACGGAGGAUGCGAGCGUUAUCCGGAUUUAUUGGGUUUAAAGGGUGCGUAGGCGGUUUGUCAAGUCAGCGGUAAAAAUUCCGGGCUCAACCCGGUCCCGCCGUUGAAACUGGCGAA